rnacentral:rRNA from 1 species
UACAGAGGGUGCAAGCGUUGUUCGGAAUCAUUGGGCGUAAAGGGCGCGUAGGCGGUCCCACAAGUCGAAUGUGAAAGCCCAGGGCUCAACCUUGGAAGUGCAUUCGAAACUAGGGGGCUUGAGUCUCGGAGAGGGUGGUGGAAUUCCCAGUGUAGAGGUGAAAUUCGUAGAUAUUGGGAGGAACACCGGUGGCGAAGGCGACCACCUGGACGAAGACUGACGCUGAGGCGCGAAAGCGUGGGGAGCAAACAG